UACGAAGGGGGCUAGCGUUGCUCGGAAUCACUGGGCGUAAAGCGCACGUAGGCGGAUUGCUAAGUCAGGGGUGAAAUCCUGGAGCUCAACUCCAGAACUGCCUUUGAUACUGGCGACCUUGAGUCCGGGAGAGGUGAGUGGAACUGCGAGUGUAGAGGUGAAAUUCGUAGAUAUUCGCAAGAACACCAGUGGCGAAGGCGGCGCACUGGACCACAACUGACGCUGAGGCGCGAAAGCUAGGGGAGCAAACAGG
rnacentral:rRNA from 1 species